UUAUCAAAUAAAUAUUUUUAAAUAAGAUAAAAGUUAUAAAAUUUACGCGAACACACCUAAUAAUAUUAAACUACAGAGUGUUUUCAUGACAAUUUCGAGACUUUCUGAUUAAAAAUUGACUCCGUGUUAGCGAAUCGAGCAGAUGAAACAAAUGUACAACACAAAUAAACAAAAACGUUUAAUGUUUCAAUAUGUCCUACAUUUACCAUAAGACAAUCUCAGAAGAAUUGAUGAAAAAAUAUCAAACAAGGCUUAAAAUUAGCCAAUAUUCAAUAUUAGCAUAGUGAUUUAUUUGAAAUCAUAAAAUGCCGCAUAUAUUCCGCUUUAAGUGCAAUUGAUAUCUUUUUAUAAUAAAUGUUUACUUCUAUGUUAAUUAUAAAAUAUUGUUUUGUUCAAUUUUAUUUUGUCAAAAACAUUUUCUUUUAUUAUCAAUGACGACAAAAAAAAAAAAGAAAUAAAGAAGUUGUUUAAAAAUACUGUGUAUAAUUUAUAUAAACAUUGUCUCCGAUAGUGAAAGAAAAUGUUCACGGGGAUUUAGUAUUAACUAAAAUUAGGUAUUAAAAAUGAAGAAAAAAUCUUCAUUAUGAAUAAAAAUAUUAUUAAUGAGAAUUAAAUUCAUUAGCAAAAUAUAAGAAAUUUCUUCAUA